UGUUCCUACGGGACGCAGCAGUGAGGAAUAUUGGUCAAUGGCCGAAGGGCUGAACCAGCCAAGCCGCGUGAAGGAAUAAGGCCCUACGGGUCGUAAACUUCUUUAGUCAGGGAACAAAGGGUGCCACGUGUGGCGCUGUGAGUGUACCUGAAGAAUAAGCAUCGGCUACCUCCGUGCCAGCAGCCGCGGUAAUAUGGAGGAUGCGGGCGUUAUCCGGAUUUAUUGGGUUUAAAGGGUGCGCAGGCGGCGAUUUAAUUCAGCGGUAAAAUUUCGGGUCUCAACCCCGCCAACCCGUU
rnacentral:rRNA from 1 species